UGUAGAGGCAAAUUACAGUUUUUCGUGUUGGAGAUUUUCCGCAUUUUUUUCAAAAUGGAAUGGAACAAACAGGCUUUAAGCAUCCUCAUUCAGGCGUACAGCGAAGAAAAGUGUAUGUACAACCCGCAGGACCCGCUAUAUUCAUAAUAAGAUACCACAGUCACUCUCAUCAAAUCCAUGUAGCACGACCACUGUCAAUGACUCUUAUAAUACUGAGGUGACCACAAUUACUGAAGAGACCAUAGUAAAUGAGGGAUAUAUUGAAGAUGACAACAGCAAUUACUCCCAAGACAUAUUUACUGUGGAAUUGUCAGGGGGAAGUACACCUGUGUCAACACCAUCACCUCGAAGUGAGCAGCCUUAUGCUUCAGCCAGAAAGAGGUGUAGGAAGGACACUGAGGACGAAUUAGCCACCUCAACAUUGUCAGUCUUAAGAGACAUUAGAGUUUCAAUUACUGGCAGUAAUGAAGAUGACAAGUUUGGGCAGUAUGUUGCUGCUGAAUUGAAGAAAUUGAAAAAUCCAGCAAUUAAGGCUGACGUGAAAUUGAAUGUCAUGAAAUGUAUCAUGGAUGGCAUACGUAAAGAAAUCUGUAACUGAUUUUAAAGUUAAGGCAUUGCAUUUCAUUGAGUUAUUUUUAAAUAAAAGAUUGCCUUUUGUACAUUAUUACUGUUAGAAGUUGUACUUCUUAACGGCUUCCCACUGCCAUGAAACAUAACCUGUUGUACUAAAGAAUUCACAAAAUUUUUCGCGCACUUCCCCGUCACACAGUGAUGUGCGAUUUCCACUCUGCUGGGGUAUGCUAGAGAGAAAUUUCUCUCCUCGCCAGGAACCAUUAUUUACGGUGCACAAGUCUGUGUUUUCUGUAUUAGCAGCUGUCAGAUGUGUGGUGUCUGCCUCUUCAAUCAAGUAGUUGUGCAGUAUGCAUAAAGUCUGAACAAUUAAUUCCACUUUCUCAACAGAUAGUCGAAUUGUACUGAGAAGAACUCUGAAGCGGUUGGCCAGAAUUCCGAAAGUGUUUUCCACUACUCGCCUUCCUCUUGACAAUCUGUAGUUAAAAAUCUGUUUGGAUUUCUGGUUCUGGCAGUCUCUGUAGGGUUUCAUGAUAUAUGGCUCCAGGUGAAAGGCAUCAACAGCAAGAAUCACGUAUGGCACUUCAAUGUUUGUGCCAGGAAGUGAUUUUUGCUGUGGUACCUUCAACCAGUUUUCCCGAAGUGCACUGCUGAUCAGGCUGUUUGCAUACACCCCACCAUCACUCACUCUUCCGUUGCACCCAAUGUCAAUCAAAGAGAAUCGGUACCUAGCAUCAACAAUAGCUAGUAAAACAACACUGUGGAAUUUUUUAUAAUUGAAUUAUGUUGAGCCAGCAGUUCGUGGUGGGGCAAAUGCUAUGU